ACUUUCACAACAAUCUGUUAACGAAUCCACUGUUUGUUGGAAAAUCUUUCCAUAUUUGCUUUGAGAGGCUCGACUGCAAUUUAUUGAAGGCUACGUCCAGAGGAAAAGCCCUUCCAGUUAAGGACAUGGUGGUGAAUGCGAUAGACUCCACCGUUGAAAUUGCAAGAUGCAGUGCAACUCUUGAGGCUUAUCUUGUGGGAGGUCCAACUUCAAAGAGUGGUGGGUUUCCUGCGAUCCCCAGACACGCCAGGAGAGGAGAUGAACUGUUCUGAUGUCAGCAGUGCCUCUCAACAGCGGGAAUGGCUGGAAGGCAGAACCCUGUAGCUGUUACACAGAUCCAAGGAACCGAACGGUGUACGUUAAACUGCAAGGAUACACACACUGGCCAGCGCAGAGCAAAAACCGACCACAGACAGAAAACUUAGGUCACAGAAAAAGGGAACCAUUCCACCUUCACGUUACUCUGUGUGGCUGGUUGAGGUCGAGGGGAGGAGGAAGACUGUAAUUCUGUUGCCGUAAUACAUCGCCUGAAAAGCCUGUUCCUCUUCCACCAUCGCU